GAAGAAAAGAACACAAGAGCACUGGAGGUGGAGGCAAAGGCACAUCUGAAGUGGACACGUUCAUGAGCGCAUCGCUUCCCAGGCACUGGGUGCUGUGGAAGUGCCUGCUCUGUGUUGUGCCUGCAGAGUUAUGCCAGGAAUGGGCCCAAAAAAGGGUGGAAAAGGAUUUCUGGGGAAGCAGCAAGAAAACAACAGGACUAUAACAGCCACAGCAUCGCAAGGCUUGGGCAUGAUGUGCUCAGCAGAGAUCUGAUCCUAUGGAGCAGAUGCCUGGGGCCCUUCCAAGAGCAUCCAUUGCAGCCCAAGCCCAUCCCUGCAGGACCACGAGCCACCUCAUCACCCCACUCCGGUCUCUAUCUGCCCAGCUGGCUGGAGGGACACAAGGAAAUGGAAUGUAGUUAAAUCCUAUGUGGUAUUUGCCUGGCUAGUAGCAAUUAAAUGUUAAUUAAUCGUUAAUUAAAGUUAGUUAAUUAAAGGUUAAUUUAAAAACCAUUUUCAAAGAAAUAAAACUUAGGGAUUUGAUGUGA